rnacentral:rRNA from 1 species
CAGCAGCCGCGGUAAUACGGAGGGUGCAAGCGUUAAUCGAAAUUACUGGGCGUAAAGCGUACGCAGGCGGUUUGUUAAGUCAGAUGUGAAAUCCCCGAGCUUAACUCGGGAACUGCAUUUGAAACUGGCAGGCUAGGGUCUCGUAGAGGGGGGUAGAAUUCCAGGUGUAGCGGUGAAAUGCGUAGAGAUCUGGAGGAAUACCGGUGGCGAAGGCGGCCCCCUGGACGAAGACUGACGCUCAGGUGCGAAAGCGUGGGGAGCAAACAGGAUUAGAUACCCCAGUAGUCCAUGUCUCUUAUAC